rnacentral:lncRNA from 1 species
ACCUCCAAGAUUGGCCAACCUAGCUCUUGGUUUAAGAGCUUUCUGCUUGGGAAUCCGGGGACAGGUCAAGCAUCAACCUCAACACUCUCUAAUUCAAAACUAUAUAUAAUAUACUUCACAUAAUUAACAUUAAUACAUAACAUUAUAUAUAUAGUCGGUGCUCUACUCUUUGAUAUAAAGUUCAUAUUGGUUCUUUACUGAUGAGGCCCUCCAAAUCAGCUUUGUUUCUCUUUCUGAUUUUGAUAAUCAUGAAUGGGAUGAUAUGUGUUGUUCAAGGUGAAGAAGCAGUUAACAGUGAAGUUGUUGUUGUUGAUAGUGGUUCUGGAGGUUCUGCAACUAUUGUGAGUUUAAACCUUCUCUGUUUAUUUAUCUGUUGAAACUUCUUUGGAGUGUUUUUGACUUGUGCAUAUUGGAUUUGGAUUGGUUCAGAUUCAAAGUUUUCAUGGUUGACUGAAUUAUAAAUUGUUACAUUAUGAUGCAGAGAAGAGGUGGUUGUGAUCUUGAGUGCAAGGAAGGAAAUGAUGAUGGGUCUCAAGAAGCUAUUUUGGAGAAUGAAGACUAUGUCUACACCAACUCUUUACCUUAAAAAGUUGGAUAAUAAAUACACUUUGGUUCAUUGACUGUGUUGUCCUUGUGUUCUACUGUGUACUCUUGCAGCUUUUUUCUGAAUCUCAGCAUUUUCGUAAUUGUAAAGGAUAAUAAAUAAGUUUAUUUGGCUUAUAUAUGCAGCACUGCAAAAUGUCUUUCAAAUUAAGUGAAGUUUGUCACUUCUCUCAAAAUGCAAAGUGCAGUUAGCUAAGAAUUUUUGUAUACAUAUUCUGUUUUCUUGGACAACAUUUUUACUCAAUGCAUAAAUUUGUAACUCACGUUAGUACAACAUGGUAUCCAAACCAAAUUUUCCUCCUUAAACAAGAUUAUUGAUCAAGA